rfam:TPA: Bos taurus chromosome 12, whole genome shotgun sequence.
UCCCUGGUGGCUCAGAUGGUAAAGAAUCUGUCUGCGAUGCAGGAAAUCCAGGUUUGAUCCCUGGAUUGGGAA